rnacentral:rRNA from 1 species
AACGAACGCUGGCGGCAGGCUUAACACAUGCAAGUCGAACGAGACCUUCGGGUCUAGUGGCAGACGGGUGAGGAACACGUGGGAACAUCCCUUUCAGUUCGGAAUAACGUUGGGAAACUAACGCUAAUACCGGAUACGUCCUUCGGGAGAAAGAUUUAUCGCUGAAAGAUUGGCCCGCGUCUGAUUAGCUAGUUGGUGAGGUAAUGGCUCGCCAAGGCUACGAUCAGUAGCUGAUCUGAGAGGAUGAUCAGCCACAUUGGGACUGAGACACGGCCCAAACUCCUACGGGAGGCAGCAGUGGGGAAUAUUGGACAAUGGGCGCAAGCCUGAUCCAGCCAUGCCGCGUGAGUGAUGAAGGCCUUCGGGUUGUAAAGCUCUUUUGUCCGGGAAGAUAAUGACUGUACCGGAAGAAUAAGCCCCGGCAAACUUCGUGCCAGCCGCCGCAGUAG